rnacentral:rRNA from 1 species
CCCUUAGAUGUUCUGGGCUGCACGCGCGCUACAAUAAUACGCCCAGCGAGUAUCACCGAGCUCGAAAGGGCAAGGUAAACAAUAGAAAAGGUACUGUAAUGGUUAUAGAUCCUUGUAAUUAUUGAUCUUCAACGAGGAAUUCCUAGUAAGUAUGUGUCAUCAUCACGCACUGAUUACGUCCCUGCCCUUUGUACACACCGCCCGUCGCUCCUACCGAUUGGGUGAGCCGAUGAAACUCUCGGAUGUAGGCUAUUCAUAGCCCGCAGAAGAGAUUUGAAUCGUAGCGCUUAGAGGAAGGAGAAGUCGUAACA